UACGUAGGGUGCAAGCGUUAAUCGGAAUUACUGGGCGUAAAGCGUGCGCAGGCGGUUAUGUAAGACAGAUGUGAAAUGCCCGGGCUUAACCUGGGAACUGCAUUUGUGACUGCAUGGCUAGAAUCUGGCAGAGGGGGGUAGAAUUCCACGUGUAGCAGUGAAAUGCGUAGAUAUGUGGAGGAACACCCGGAUGGCGGAAGGCAGCCCCCUGGGUCAAGAUUGACGCU
rnacentral:rRNA from 1 species